GAAUGGGGGAACCCACUAUCUUUAGUCGGAUAGUAUCCUUACGUGAAUACAUAGCGUAAGGAAGGCAGACCCAGGGAACUGAAACAUCUAAGUACCUGGAGGAAGAGAAAGAAAAAUCGAUUUCCUGAGUAGCGGCGAGCGAAACGGAAAGAGCCCAAACCAAGAAGCUUGCUUCUUGGGGUUGUAGGACACUCUAUACGGAGUUACAAAAGAAAGUUAUAAAUGAAGCGGUCUGGAAAGGCCCGCCAAAGACGGUAACAGCCCGGUAGUUGAAAUGGCUUUCCCUCCAGAGUGGAUCCUGAGUACGGCGGAACACGUGAAAUUCCGUCGGAAUCCGGGAGGACCAUCUCCCAAGGCUAAAUACUCCCUAGUGACCGAUAGUGAACCAGUACCGUGAGGGAAAGGUGAAAAGCACCCCGGAAGGGGAGUGAAACAGUUCCUGAAACCGUGUGCCUACAAGUAGUUAGAGCCCGUUAAUGGGUGAUAGCGUGCCUUUUGUAGAAUGAACCGGCGAGUUACGAUUUGUUGCAAGGUUAAGCGGAAAAAGCGGAGCCGUAGCGAAAGCGAGUCUGAAUAGGGCGCAUAAGUAACAGGUCGUAGACCCGAAACCAGGUGAUCUACCCAUGUCCAGGAUGAAGGUAAGGUAAUACUUACUGGAGGUCCGAACCCACGCACGUUGAAAAGUGCGGGGAUGAGGUGUGGGUAGCGGAGAAAUUCCAAUCGAACUUGGAGAUAGCUGGUUCUCUCCGAAAUAGCUUUAGGGCUAGCCUCGAGGUAAAGAGUCAUGGAGGUAGAGCACUGUUUGGACUAGGGGCCCUUCUCGGGUUACCGAAUUCAGAUAAACUCCGAAUGCCAUGUACUUAUACUCGGGAGUCAGACUGCGAGUGAUAAGAUCCGUAGUCGAAAGGGAAACAGCCCAGACCACCAGUUAAGGUCCCCAAAUAUAUGUUAAGUGGAAAAGGAUGUGGGGUUGCUUAGACAACCAGGAUGUUGGCUUAGAAGCAGCCACCAUUGAAAGAGUGCGUAAUAGCUCACUGGUCGAGUGACCCCGCGCCGAAAAUGUACCGGGGCUAAACAUAUUA
rnacentral:rRNA from 1 species